rnacentral:rRNA from 1 species
AUGCUUUGCAUUGCUUUUCCAUUUUCUUUUAUGCUUAUGCAUCUUAUCUUUACUCAGAUGGAUAAUUCUCAACAACAAUAUCUAUAUUACUGUAUGUGGAGGCAACGCACACUACUUGUCCUUUUUGUAAUGUUGGUCCUUUGGUGGAGCAAGAAAAAAGAGAGGAAGAAUAGAGCUAAACGUGUCAAGUAUGGUCCACUUGUCAAGAGAGAUAUUUGGAGGAGUACUGAACUAAUUAGACUGAUCGACACCUCGGAAAGGACGUGUUUGCGCCAGCUCAGGAUGUAUCCGGCCGUUUUCUACAAGCUGUGUGCUCACCUUAGGGACAAAAAGCUUUUGGCUGACACAAUUCAUGUGUCCGUAGAGGAGCAGCUAGCUAUGUUUCUGAAAAUUGUUGGGCAAUAUCACACUCAUUCCUCUGUAGGAUUUGCAUUGUGGCGAUCUGAAGAGACAGUGAGUAGGUAUUUUAACAUCGUCCUAUGUGCCCUUGUGAAGUUAGCCCGUGAAAUAAUCUGCACUCGGUCUACAGAUACACAUGCUAAGGUCACUACCAACCCAAACAAAUUUUAUCCCUACUUUGAGGGAUGUAUAGGGGCACUAGAUGGCACCCAUAUUAGGGCACGUGUGCCUUCAAAAUAUGUGGACAGGUUUAGGGGCCGCAAGCCAUAUCCCACACAGAAUGUCCUAGCUGCCGUGGAUUUCGAUCUUAGAUUCACGUAUGUUCUAGCAGGGUGGGAGGGAUCUACUCAUGAUUCUGCUGUAUUGCAUGAUGCCCUAUCUCGACCAAACGGUCUCAAAAUUCCAGAAGGAAAAUUUUAUUUGGCUGAUGCUGGGUAUGCCACCAGGCGGGGCAUAUUGCCACCCUAUCGAGGUGUUCGCUAUCAUCUGCAGGAGUUCCAUGGUCCGAAUCGUCCAACCUCUCCAAAAGAGCUGUUCAACCACCGUCAUUCCUCACUGAGGACAACGGUCGAGCGAGCCUUUGCAGCUAUUAAGAAUCGUUUCAAGAUUCUUAGUAAUAGACCUUUCGUACCCUUGAAAUCACAACCCAAGGUGGUUAUUGCUUGUUGCGUCAUUCACAACUGGAUUUUAGACAACGGACCCGGUGAGUUUGUAGAUGACGAACCGACUUGGUACAACCACCUGCCAAGGAGUAGCAAUCGUGUCUCCGACCGAGAGAGUGAUGUACGCGAGUGGGCAGCCAAGCGUGAUUCGAUUGCCCAACAGAUGUGGAAUGAUAGAGAGAGAUUGGCGAACAAUGAUGCUUCGGACAGCGGGAGUAGUGCUAGUACCAUUUGA